rnacentral:rRNA from 1 species
GUGGGGAAUCUUGCACAAUGGGGGAAACCCUGAUGCAGCGACGCCGCGUGAGCGAUGAAGCCCUUCGGGGUGUAAAGCUCUUUCGGCUGGAACGAUAAUGACGGUACCAGCAGAAGAAGCUGCGGCUAACUACGUGCCAGCAGCCGCGGUAAUACGUAGGCAGCAAGCGUUGUUCGGAGUUACUGGGCGUAAAGAGUGCGUAGGCGGUUGCUUAAGUUUGGUGUGAAAUCUCCCGGCUCAACUGGGAGGGUGCGCCGAAAACUGGGCAGCUUGAGUGUCGGAGAGGUAUGCGGAAUUCCUGGUGUAGCGGUGAAAUGCGUAGAUAUCAGGAGGAACACCUGUGGUGUAGACAGCAUACUGGACGAUAACUGACGCUGAGGCACGAAAGCGUGGGUAGCAAA